AUUGAACGCUGGCGGCAGGCCUAACACAUGCAAGUCGAACGGUAACAGGAAACAGCUUGCUGUUUCGCUGACGAGUGGCGGACGGGUGAGGAAUGUCUGGGAAACUGCCUGAUGGAGGGGGAUAACUACUGGAAACGGUAGCUAAUACCGCAUAACGUCGCAAGACCAAAGAGGGGGACCUUCGGGCCUCUUGCCAUCGGAUGUGCCCAGAUGGGAUUAGCUAGUAGGUGGGGUAACGGCUCACCUAGGCGACGAUCCCUAGCUGGUCUGAGAGGAUGACCAGCCACACUGGAACUGAGACACGGUCCAGACUCCUACGGGAGGCAGCAGUGGGGAAUAUUGCACAAUGGGCGCAAGCCUGAUGCAGCCAUGCCGCGUGUAUGAAGAAGGCCUUCGGGUUGUAAAGUACUUUCAGCGGGGAUGAAGGGAGUAAAGUUAAUCCCUUUGCUCAUUGACGUUACCCGCAGAAGAAGCACCGGCUAACUCCGUG
rnacentral:rRNA from 1 species